rnacentral:lncRNA from 1 species
CUCCUUCAGAACGUGACCUUAUUUGCAAAUAGAGCCAUUGUCGAUGUAUUGUAAUUGGUUAAGUGAGGUCAUAAUGGAGUAGGUGGACCUUUGGUCCACUAUGGCUGAUGUCCUUCUAAUAAGAGAGAUGAGAGACACAGGGAGAAUGCCUCGCGAUGACAGAAGCAGAGACCGGAGUGAUUCCUGCCUUCAUAGGAGGAAGGAUGUGUUGUCUGUAGUCAUCCUAUGA